AAGACCUUGCACUUUUGGAGCGGCCGAUGUCUGAUUAGCUAGUUGGUGGGGUAAUGGCCUACCAAAGCUUCGAUCAGUAGCUGGUCUGAGAGGACGGCCAGCCACACUGGGACUGAGACACGGCCCAGACUCCUACGGGAGGCAGCAGUGGGGAAUUUUGGACAAUGGGCGCAAGCCUGAUCCAGCCAUGCCGCGUGAGUGAAGAAGGCCUUCGGGUUGUAAAGCUCUUUCGGCCGGGAAGAAAAGGUUGCGACUAAUAAUCGCAAUUCAUGACGGUACCGAAAGAAGAAGCACCGGCUAACUACGUGCCAGCAGCCGCGGUAAUACGUAGGGUGCGAGCGUUAAUCGGGAUUACUGGGCGUAAAGGGUGCGCAGGCGGUUUUGUAAGUCAGAUGUGAAAUCCCCGGGCUUAACCUGGGAACU
rnacentral:rRNA from 1 species